UUUCAGCAUCAUCUUUGAUCUUAAUACCUAUCAAUUGACUAUUCAAAUCAGAUCUCAAAGUUUCUGAGAAGAAAAGAGAAUACGCCUGUAAAUGUAAUUGGAUUUCGGAUGAAUGACUUUCCUAUAAUCACGUUUUUCAGCCGUUGGCAAGAUUUGUUAUGGUAGAGGUCCUUAAGCAACUUUUUUCUCAACUGUUUGUCCCAUACUCAUCUCUGCUCUCACAUUAUCAUCUUUGUUUACUAAUAAAAGUAUUCCAUUGGUUUAACUUUUGAUUCUUCUCUUAACUUAUUCACUAAUGUAUUUAGUUUAUGUAUUUUGAUUUUGUGCUAUUGAUGCACUUUAUUUUCUAAUUUUACCAUUCAAUUUUUCAUAUUCAUUUUAUUUUUGAUUGCACUAUAUCAGCAUAAAAGCUUUGGCAAGGGUAAAUGUUAUUUUCCUGAUAACUUUGCAGGUU